GAUGAAGAACGCAGCGAAAUGCGAUAAGUAAUGCGAAUUGCAGAAUUCAGUGAAUCAUCGAAUCUUUGAACGCACAUUGCGCCCGCCAGUAUUCUGGCGGGCAUGCCUGUCUGAGCGUCGUUUCGACCCUCGCGCCCGGCUUCUGUCGGGGGCGGUGUUGGGGAUCGGCCACACCCUUCAGUGGGAGGCCGGCCCCUAAAUUCAGUGGCGACCACGCUGUAGCCUCCCCUGCGUAGUACUAAAACCACCUCGCAGGCGGAGAGCGGUGCGGCCCGCCGUAAAACCCCCCAACUCUUUCUGGUUGACCUCAGAUCAGGUAGGAAUACCCGCUGAACUUAAGCAUAUCAAUAAGCGGAGGA
rnacentral:misc_RNA from 1 species